CCCACCCGAUCCACUCCCACCGCACCAAACUCUCUCUCUCUCGUGUGCAUCCCUCAAAAAAAACUCUCUCUCGUGAACCUCACCCCCACCCUCGGUCCAGUUCCUUUCCCCCACUAUCUCCGCGCCGCCGCCGCCACCCACGUCGGCCGGUUCCGGUGAUCUCCGGCCGCGCGCAACAUGCCCCCAAGCUCCGCCCCUCUCUCCCCCCUUCCAGAUCCGUGCCUCAAGGGAUGCACCCUUGCCCGCCGCUAGCGUUUCGGGCGCCUCUCGUGUUCUUGCCAGAAUCCACCACAAUCGGCGAUGGCGAGGCCGGAGCUUGCGGGAUCCGUCUGCGGUGUUGCCCAGGUCACCAUGGUGCAGAGACGACAAUGAUGGCAAGAGGGCACAGACCUUGCCCUGAUCGAGGAGGAGGAGGGGCGCACCUAGAUGCCAGCCCUGCUCUGCUCGAUGAGGAGGGGUGGGAGGGGUCUACUCCUAGGGCGACCAAGAGGUCCUGCUCGAGCUCAAGCAUGGCCAUGAUGACCCACCACGGCAGGAAACAGGCAUUGGUUGAUUGGUCGAUGCGCCAUGGCCGUGGGUUGUCCUAGUGCAUGCGUUUGCUGAAGGUGGUGAUGCAUAUGCCUGAAGGUGGUGAGCAGAGCAACUUCUGCUGUAAGAAUUUUCUGAGGAUGCUUUUGAGUGUAGAAUAACAAAAAAUAUGUACGGAGUAAUUAUUUUAGCAUUACUAGAACUGUUAAUUCGCACUCCCUCUACAGGGAGUAUUAUUUAUUUCUUUUGGAAGAUGACCUCUAGUUCUAAGUGAGUGAUUUUUUUGAAUUUUUCGCCCAUUCUGAAGAUUGUGCACUAAUGAAUAAACAAUGUGCUCCCUUUAAACAUUGUAGAGUAAUUAAUAUGCAGCCAGAGUCAAGUAUGGUAUCACAAUCUUUAGUAAAGCAUUUGAAUUAAAGCAAGUAGAUAUUGAUCUUUGUGAUUGAAGUGUGUCUGUUUAAUACCUCUAAACUCAACUAUUUCUUUUAGAAUUAUGGUACUUCUUAGUGUAGCAUUGUAGCUUUAUUUUUACAUGAUCAGAUUACCUUUGGUAUAUGCAGCAUGCAGUCAAACUAUGCUAUAUAUCUACAGUAGUAAAUGUAUCAUCUUAAGAGUGUACUGAAGCUAUAUUAUUUCGUAGCUCAAAUUUAGGCUUUCUCCAUGGUUAAUAUAAGUUAUGUAAAGCAAUGUUUGCCUGGAUGUGUAACUGUAAAGACAUUCUUAUUAUAUAUUCAAUGUACAGCGACGGUGCUGCUGCACUUGUGCUAGUCAGUGAAGCUAAGAACCUUGGCCUUCAAGUUCUUGCAAGAACCAAAGGGUAUGCUGAUGCUGCUCAGGGGUGAUCGACGUGGACUACUGCGGCCUGGUGGGCAUCGUGCUCUUCAACCACUCGGAGGCGGACUUCAUCGUGAAGCCCGGCGACCGUGCCACACAGAUGAUCAUCCAGGUCAUUGCAACGCCGGAGGUCACCGAGGUGGAGGACCUCGACGCUACCGUCCGGCGGGAGGGAGUGCUGGGAUCCACCGAUGUUUGAGCUCCGAGCCUUGGUAGAUACAUCUAGAGAAGUGGUCUAAUUGUUUGCAUCUAAUGUUAAAUGGGAUCUCGAGAUCUCGAGUUGAGAUGUUCAAUGUUGUAUCCAUGAAUGCUGCAAGUGCUAAGAUGGUUCUGUGAACUUAGU